GUCAGGGACUUCUGAAGUCUGCCUGACACUGUUACCAAUGUCUAUGAGCCUUCUGGAGGCUGUUAAUGUAUUUCAGAAAGAGAACAUGGUCUAAUGUUUAGAGGAAGUUUUCAAGGCCUUUUACUGUAAAGUUAUUCAUUAAACACCCUUUUCCCAGAGUGACUCUCACGUGCUCAGCCAUGCAGAUUGUGUUCAACUUUAGGGUCCAAGAAGUAUUUUUUAAAAAAAUCCAUUUCAGUGGUUAUUACUUGGAAACACACGAAAAAGAAAAUAACUCGACUUCCAUUAAAAUGCAACUCAUGAUUUAAGGAGUUGAAGCUAUGACUGAAAUAACUGAAUUACUCCAAAGUGCCAUGAUACAAGUAGAGCCUUUUUCAGAAUAUUUGAUCUUUUAGGGAUCGUGUUUUGGUUCUUUUUUGAAUGGCUCGAAGGAUUAAUCCAGCCCGUGACAACAGAGUGGGUUAAUAUUUUCUUUGCUGUUGUGUGCUAAAAUUCCUCCUAUGACACUUUACUCCAAACACCAUCAAGUUCUUAAGUGAAAAAGUCCUGAGGGAGCAAAAGCCGAUCUUGCUGAUAAUCAUUAUCUGCUAGACUAUAUUAAAAUUGCAUUAGCUCUACCUUGUCCUCUAAAAUUGAAACUGUUAUAAAGGUACUGUAGACAUAGCUUCUAAUUUAGAAAAUAAUUUGCUUUCACUUAUUUCUGAGCCCAGAAAAAAUAUUUCAGUUGAAUAAAUUUCUAUCCAGAUUAGUUAGUUCUGAUUUUAAAUCAGUUCCAUUCAUGGAUCUCAUCUCAGCCUGCUGAUGUUUCACACUCUUUUUUAGAAAUGACACAUGCAAGGAUUUUCCUGUGUUGGCAAUUCAGGGCAUGCCAUUUGAUAUUUAUUUUGCCACACUACUUAAGUUGUGGAGCCCCAUGAUUAUACUGAACAGAGUUGCCUUGGUAAUCCUGCAUAGAAUUGGCAGCUUUCAAGGAGAUUGGCAGAAGGAAGUAGGGUAUUUGGUCUGUCUGUCUGUCUACCUACCUAUGUAGCUGUUACUCAACCAUUAACUUCUCCAUUAGACCAGCAAUCAUUCUGGAGGACAGACAUUUUUUUUAUAAGAUCUAGUAAGUCAGAAAAUCCACUUUUUAAUACUAAGGAAUUAAAAAUUCUCAAAUAAAAUUUGAAACACACAAUUGCCAUAUACAUAUUCUUGUAAUAUAAUAGAAUUAGAGGAUAAAGGUGGAGUCCUCCUUGCCUCCACCUCCAGUUCCAGUUGUUUUCUCCACCUCCCUGAUGUCAAAAGUGCACGCUCACCAGUCAGUUUCCCAUCCAAAGGAAUCUCUAAAACAAAUAUCAUAAUGCACAUAUCAUAAUGCAUGUAUCAUAAUGCACGCAUCAUAGUGCACUUGCUAUUUUCAUUCAACAGUGUCUUGGAAAUUUUAUCUACUUGGUAGAAACAGGUAUAAUUCAUUCUUUCUAAGUGCAUUAAGAAUUUCCUAUGGAAUGGUUAGAUCAGUACUCCCUGAGUUAUUCCAAUAUAAUGUACACCUAGGGUUUUUGCAUCUUGUAGCUAUUCGUAAAUAGCAUUGUAGUGAAUACCUUUUUACAUAUUUUCUUUAGUGAUUCUCAUAACAGAAAUAGUACUCAUAAGUAGUUCUCUAGCAUAAGUACUUAAAGUGGAAUUGUAGAUCAUAAGUAUACAUAUUUUAUGUCUUAUUAAUUACUUCCAAAUUACCUAGAACUUUUAGUCUUAAAUGGGAAUCACACCAUAAUUUCUGACGCAAGUUUUUAACUCUUCUUAAAUCUACAUUUCAGUGUAUCUCCUCUCAUUCUCUGUUAAUAACUGCCUCUGCUUCUCCAAGAAGAUGAAGGCCAUCCUUGGGUAUCCCUUCCUCUAGGGUAAGCUGGGUCAGGCAACCUAACCACUGGGGGCCUAGCCAGAUGUUUAGAAAUUGGGCUGCUCAGAGCCAUCAAGGUGGCCUCAUUCAGAGGUUGGGGAACAUAAGGUCAAAAAAAUAGAACAAAACAAAACUUAUUCAUCCUUUGAGCAUGCAUCAAUAAAUUAAUGACACACAUCCACUUCAAUCAUAAUAUGACUGUCCAGAUUCAAAUAAUAUUUUCAGCCAGAUUUAUGUAUUUUUAUUAUAUUCUUUUCUUGGGCUAGCUAUAAUUGAUAUGAUUGGACCAAGUAUAAUUAAAUAAAGUUCAAGCAGAUUCCAAGAUGUAUUUUUGAUUCUACCCUCUAAAGCAAUGGGAGAAUGUCGUCAAAUUGAAGGUAUGUUAAAACAUUGUGCUACAGUUAGAGCUUGGUUCACCUCUGUUGUAAUCACAUGAUGACCAUGGAAGCCAAGCAAGUAACUCAGGACCUUCGAGUGGUAGAGGCACCACAUACAGAUUAAUAACAUAUUUGAACUAUGUUCUGUGUAGUAAUUCAAAGAUAAAAACAUAUUUUGAGUAUAUUAGUAGGACAUGUACCUUCAGCUUUUUUUUUUUUUUAUUAGUAGUGGGCCUUGAACCCAAUAGUCUCUCCCACUGGGCUACACUCCCAGCCCCCUUUAUUUUCUUUUUUGGGGACAGAGUCUCAGUAAGUUGACCAGGCUGACCUCAAAUUUGUGGUCCUUCUAUCUCAGCCUCCUGAGUUGCUAGAUUACAGGCAGUCCCCACCACACCCGGCUUGUCUUCCAGCUAAUUUUUAAGAUAAAAAGGAUUGGUUUUAUACCAUUUUUCUUUCCUAUCUGUUCCCCUCAUGACUAAUGGUACACACUUACAAAUAGCUUAAUGGAAGUUAGCAAUGUGACAGCUAGGACCUUUGUUUAAGAGUAACUCUCAAAUAUGGAGGAUUGAGUCUCUAGAAUCUCUAAAAUUAGAUUUUAAAACUUAUCUCUAAUAAUGAAAAAUUGGAAGCCAACUACAUAUCCAAGAAUUGUAGGUUGAUUACAACCAUAACCUAUCAAUAUUGAAAUAUUAUAUGGUGAUUAAAAAUAAUUGUCUACACCAUUCCAUCCAGCAGCCACAGUUCUCAGAAUAUAUUCUUAGAAAUAAAAGCACACAGCAUUAUUCUUGAUGAUUGAAAAAUUAAAAAUACAAUUUUCCAACUAAAGAGACUUCCCAUGAGUAGGAUACAUAGUAGGAAAAAAGUGGGGCAUAUUCACAACAUGGAACACUCUGAAGUUAUUUCAAAGAAUGAAUUAUUCCAAUGAAUCACAUGGAAAGAUUUCUGAAUCUCAUUGUCAAAGAAGAAAAGACAGAAAAGUAAGACACAGAAGAUCAGCAUGUGCUUAUUAGAUCCCAUUAUUAUAUAAAAAUGAUACUUAAACAUCCAAUAAGCACAUAUUUGUUUUCUAUUAUAUAAGAUUAGAUUUGAAAAGUAUUAAAGGAAAAUACUAGGAUGGUAAUUUGGCUUAGCAGAAGACUAUGGUGGGAUGCAUGGAGAAUGAUGAGUAUGAGGAAAUAAAGAUGUGAGAGAAAAGGGAACCCCCCACAAAAUGCUAUGAAGCCUGCAACAAUAUUGAAGAAUGUUUUUGAUGUAAUCUUAAGGAAUGUUAAAGGGCAAAUUUAUAUGAAAAAAGCAAAUUCUAUGUAUAGUGAGCGUGAACUUGACAGGGUGGCUGGUUUGGAAGUAAUUUUAUAUUUCUUUAACUUUUAUUUUAAUAUGAUAAGAAUGAGAAGAUAUUAAAAUCCAAAGCAUUGCUCUUGCUGUUUUGCUCCUGGAUGCACAAUGAGACUUAGAAGAAUUCCUUCUUUCCUACCCCCAGAAAGGUGGCUGGAAGGAUUCUCUUGAAUUGGUAAAGAGCUCACACUAUUCUUGCAAGCCCUGACCCCAAGAUGGGCAAACUUAUAAACAACCCCAAUUGCCCAUGAAGUGACUGGUUUAAACAAACUUGAAAGAGGACCUGAGGUUAUCACAGCUUCCCUCACUACUGGAAACAUAUCCAGGUGUCCUGACCUUGAGAGACUAAUGAUCUUGUGAGGGGGCCCAGAAAAUUGGCAGAUAGGACUGCCAAAGUUCUUCACCCACCUUAGGGUGAACUUAGGGAUACGAAUGUGGUGUUUCACUUACAAAGAUAUUUUAAAGGUAAAUUUUGGAAACACUUGAAAUACCUGCCCAUGAAUUAGAUGUUGAGCCUCAACAGAAUUGAGGAGGUAUUUAUAAAUGAAUAGUUUGUUAUUCUUUAUCAGAGGAUGUGGAAAUCUAGAACAUUGGAUGAGGAAUGAAGUUGGAGAUAGAAACAGGGCUCUUACAUUCCUCAUUGGUUCACCAAGAGUGGCUCUUGACACUCUUAUUUCUUUCUAAGAUGAAUAUAUGUUAGGAGAAGGACGUGGUAAACCAAUCCUUUUUUUUUUUUUUUUUAAUCUGUAAGGUGUAAAGGAAAUCAUAUGGGGAUUGAUCUUAUUGAAACGCAGUUUCUAAUUUAGUAGGUCUGAAUUGAGUCUGAGACUGCAUUCCUGAAAGGCUCCCAGGUGAUGCAGACACUGCUGGCCCAUGGACUAUACUUUCGGCAGCAAGGUUUUACACCUGGGCACAAUACAGCUUGUUAAAAACCAGAUGCUGGUGCUCUAUACUCAAAGUUUCUGACUGAAUGAAUGCAAGACUCCUCCCCCCCUUUUAAAGCAUCCAAGGUAAUUUUAUUGCACAAUUCCAUAAGAAAUCACAGAAUUCAUAUUCAAAAUUGCACAACUGAUUAUGAUAUCAUUUUUAUACUUGAUGUGUAGGGUUAUAUUUGUCACUGCUUGGCUCUUUCCUCAAUCCUAGAUAAAAUAAAUUACUUCCACCUCUGUACAACUUCUUUACUUGUACACUUGCAUAUUUCAUAUUCUAUUAUUACAGGCCUUAAUUCCUUGUACCAGGCUCUCUCCCUCAUCAAUACACCCUUAGUGAACUUUAUGUGCUUGGUUACCUCUUUUUUGAAUGGGAAUAAGCAUUCACUUGUUCUGUAUUUCUGACUUCAGGUUCUCCUCUGGUUAAUAGACAUGAAAAUACUUUGCCUACUUUGGUGGAGAUCAAAUAGGAGAUGAUUUUUUUUAAAAUUUUAGCUGUAGAUGGACACAAUAUCUUUAAUUAAUUAAUUAAUUAAUUAUUUGUAUGUGGUGCUGAGGAUCAAACCCAUGAAUGUAAGGCAAAUGCUCUACCACUGAGCCACAACCCCAGCCCUUAAAUAGGAAAUGAUUUGUAAGAAUGUCCGGAAACUGACAUUGUUAAUCAGUUACUCUAAGUUCUAGUCCAUUCCUUGUCAAAUUUGACAUGACCUUAGACAAGUCAUCUGAAGUCUCUGGUUCUCUCUUACACUAAUAGCAAAGGAGUUUUAAAAAGUAGUAUGUAUGAAAAAAUACUUAGGAGAGUUUUAUUAUCAGCAGUAGGAAAAUAUAUUCUUUUUCAUCUAGUUAAAUUAAUAUUCAAAACUAAUUGAACAUUAAUUACAUGUUAUUAAUUUUUUCCAUGGAUUCUCCCAUUAGCAAUGUGUCUUACAUUAGAGGGCUCUAAUAUGUAAGCAUUGCUCACUGGUCAAUGAUUUUUUUCACCUAAUCCAUAUGCUAAAUUUUUAUUCUCCUGCAUGAUUCCAGUUGGAGAUUGAUCAUAUUUUUUUCCCCUGAGGCACGUGGGAAUGUCUAGCUUUUAGCUUAUACAAGGCCAUUGUGAAAGUAGAGUCCCAUUAGCACUCUUUGUGCCUUGCUAGAAAUUCAACGUUGCAUACUUGUUUGUUUUGGGCUGGAGAAAGAAGCCAAAGAUUGCAUGUUGACAUUGCCUGCUACUUCUAGGGCCACUUUAUCCCAUAGGGCUGUGAAAUCAGCCUUCCUAUUGUGUCAUUCUUUUCCAUUUGUGCAUUCUUUGCUUGAAUAUUCUUUUCUAUAGUAAACUACUGAAAGAAGAAAUAAAGAUAACUUUUUUUUUAACUAUCUAGAUGAAGACAUCUACUGGAAAAGUUCAGCUGACAGCAUUUAAAUGUAAACCCUGAAAAUCCCAGGUUAAUGGACCCUUGAACCAGAAAAAGGUGAAUUGGAAACGGUGAAGGCGACUGAGAUAAGGAAGGUUAGAAACAUGGGCCUAUAGCCAAUGGCCUGGGCUCUCUUAUGGCUCUCUUGUCUUCUAUCUGGAGAUUCUUAUGUAAGUUAGCUACCUCCCAAGCCUCAGCUUACUUUUCUGUGCAAAACGGGAUAAAGGAGUCAGUUUGUUCUGCCAGAAUCUAUACUUGGCAGGAGCACAGAUCUUUGUUCUUCUCACCAAUGUACUACAAAUGCCUACAACAGUUCCUGGCACACAGUAGGUACUCAGUUGGUCUUUUUUGAAUGAGCAGAAUGACUGAAAAUAUAUGUCUUUCUCUAACCCCUUGAAUGUCUCUUUACCUGCUUUCUAUGAAGUGUGCUAUUUCAGAGGAAUGUUCUUAUUGUUCUUUAAUAGUAAAUGGCCCCAGAAUUUUGUUUACCAAGCAAGGAAAAAAAUAACUAAUGGCACUGUUAAAAGUCUAAAUACUUCUGUGGACUGUCACAUCAUCUCUAAUGUUUAUUGGCUUGAACUGAAGUAGAUGCAACAAUUCAAAGCUUCCACCAAAUUUAGUCUUUUUUUCCCCCCUUUCACUGUUUGCAAAACAAGAUAUUUUAUGGAUGUAAUUUAUACAUUGAAUAGAAGAGAACUAUUCCCAAUAUUAUCUUUAUCUUCUCCACAUAAAUAACAAACAACUCCAGUAAUCAAAAUUUACUACAAUUGUAAUAGAUUUUGGCAGAGUUUAUAUAUUGUAUGUGAUACUAACAUAAUGCUGACUUUCAGGGAUAGGGGCCAGGAUUUCUAGUUUGGCUUUGUUAAGUGGAGGAAAAAAAAUUUCACUACUGUAUUCUUAGUUUUUACUGCAUUCAAGAGAUUAAUUCCCGUAAAUAAAAUUGUUUAUACCAGAUUCUAAUCAGAAAGUUGAAAUUAUCUGUGGCAAUGUAACCACUAAAAACUUGUAUACUAUGAAAAUAUUUCAAUAAUUAAUGCAUGCUCCAUCUAGAGUAGUUGAUAGUGAGGUCAUAAACGUAAUGGGCCAUCUGUGUUUGAUUUGUACAUGAAAAUGCUUAAAGGGAUAGGCAGGUAAUUUAAGCUUCAUGGGCAAGGAAGAUUUGUUCCAACUUCUCCAAGUAGCAGAGAUGUUUAUUAGAUUUUCCCUUCGUUUUUCUUAAAGUCUUUUCCAGAUCUUUUCUUGAGCUCUGCACUUAUUGUUUCUCCUUCUAAUGCAAUAAUCCCUUUUAGAGUUUUUCAGCAUACAUUGUUCUCUUAGUUAUCCUCAAAUAAUAAUACCUGGCUCUUUUCGUCAUUUCCAUGGCAACUUAAAAGCCAGAUGUCCGACUAAAAAAUAUUAGGGGCUCACAUAAUGCUAUGAUUUUAUUUAUUCUACUCUCUUGGAUGGCUUCAAAAGUGUCUUUAUUUUUUGGCUUUCUGUUGGUAAACAAUUAACCCACCCUGCUUGUAUCUGUUAAUGCACAUUAGCAACGCAAACUUUAGUGAGAGUUUCGUAGCUUACCUCAUUGAGAGUGGACCAUAAUCUCCUUAUUUCUGGAUAUAAUAUGGUAGUGGUAGACAUCCAAGAAAGUUUUAGAAUUUUCUGUGUAAGAAAACCAGAGCGUUCUCAAUGAUUGCCUGAAACAAUGUCUCAUCACCAGACCCCAAAACCUGUGUAAGAACACAUAUUCAUCUAUAAUUUACUGAGUGUUUAUCACCUGCAAGGCUCCGUACUAGGCACUGAAUAUGUAAUGACCUGAACCAACAGGGUCUUUUGUCUUCCUUGAUCUCCUGUUCUAGCAAAUGCAGUUUCCUCCCUGCACAUCUCAUAGAUAGCAUAAACUCUACAACUGGAAGAUUCAAUGAACAAUAUUCCCUGACACAUCCCUUCUAGACCUGCAUCUCUUCCUGCUUUAUUUGUUUUGGGAAAAUAUGCCACCAUCCUUCUAUCCGGUUUCCCAAGGCAAUCCAGGGUUACCCUACUCUGUCCCCUUCUUCUUUCUCCUUCAUCAAAGCAAUGCACAGGUUCUGUCAGAGCUAACUGCUCUUUAUUGCCCCACUCUCCAUCCUUCUCUCCAUCCCUAUCACAGCCUUAAUGCUUAGUAAUUUUUUCCCCUGUUAAGCUGCAAUAGAUCCAGUAUCACUGCCUUAUGAAUCUGUUCCCCAUACUGCUGCCUGAGUGAUAUUUUAAGCAUUAAAAUGCUAGCGGGAUUAUGUCAUUUCUCUGUAAAAAGUCUUUAUUAUAAGGAUUCUACAAUUGCCUUGGAAACAAAACCCAAACUUAACAUGGUAUGUACAUGGAAGACCUUUGAUAAGAGGGCCUAGGCCUAACUUUUUACAAUGCUAAUUCUUUCCACAUACCCUGCUAUCUGGUUAUAAGGAUAUAAAAAAUGAUAUCACCUUUGAUGCAAAUCUUGUAACUAGCCUUUUCCACUGAACAUAUCAUUAAAUAUAUCCACAUCACUGGACCUAUUUAGGUUUACAUGCUUGAAUAAGAAGCUAUUGUUUGUCAAGAAGUCAUGUUGCAUGCUACGAAUUUGCUGAUAUACUGCUUUUAAAAAAUUCAAAUAUAUAGACAACUGACAAUAAUGUAUAAAUACAUCAAGUUAGCACAACUCUUUGUUUAAAGAAAAUGGAUGUGUGUCUUGUAAGCAGGUCAGUUCCAUGUUUAAUAAGAGAAAUAGGUGGUCAAGUUUGGAAAGUGAGAUGAAGAUUUUGAAAUUAUUUGGUAUAAAAGAAUGACACUGUGCUUUCGAGAUUAAUUGCUAGACAUUUGAUUCCCAACCUUCUGCUGGGGAUGGUCAUAAUUCCCCAAGCUCUUGACUGUAGGUGAGACACCUGGAGCUAUGCUUUGGCAUAUUGUGGGCCUGGGGAGAGUUGGUACCCAUUCAAUUAGCUAAAAGAACUAACAGCUCAGAACAUGAGAAUGGUAAAGGUGGGCAGUGUGGGGGAGUGGAACAUAUAAUGGGACAUAAACUUCCAUACCUGUUGCCACUGUUGAAUUUCCCCAUGCCCCAAACCAAACACGUGGCUUGCACAAGCCAAUAACUUGGUCUUUAAGCAAGAUCACAGUUCUGCUAAUGGGAUUGUGCCAGGGGAGAGAAAUCCAAAAGUCUUGGACAAAUGACUCAUGACUGAGGUAGAACAAAAAGAGAGAGAGAAAGAUUAACCUGAAACUAAUAAGCAUUCUCAAAGAUGUAUCAUUGAGAUACCAUGAAGAUUUUUGGACCCUAAAGUCAUGAUUUCUGAAUUAAAAUAUUCAUUAGAUGAAUAAAACAACAAGUGUAAUUUAUACUGGCAAUUGAAUUAGAGAUCUGGAAAAUGAAAUAAAUCGAAGCACAACAUGCCACAAAGACAAAAGCACAUGGGUACAAAGAUAUGAGAUGAAAAGCACACAGUUAGGAAAUUUGACCUACAAAUACUGAGUCAUCCAGAAGCAAAAAAGAAAAAGAUGGAGAUAUGAUUACCAAACUCAAAGUGAAAGAACAUUUCCCUGAACUAAAGAUGUUAGUUUUGUGAUUACAAGAAUCAAGUAUAAAAGACAAAAAAAAAAAAAAAAAGAAAAGAAAACAAAUAAACUAAUUCAAACAAAAAUAUACAAUUUGACAUAUUCUCAUUAAAUUCCUGAAUAUUUAGCAUAGGUGACUCUGUGGAGUCCUUCCUGGAUGCCCCUUUUGGACUGGAGCACUCUAACCCCCACCCGCUGCCCUCCAUAUCCAAUGACUCAUUGAUGUGGGUAUGCCAAGGAUCAUUCGUCUUUUCUCAAUUUGUUAAUUCAGACCCAGCUCCCACAAGAUCAGGAGCAACCUCUGCUAAAGCUACUUCACACCCCAGCUCCUUCCUUUGGUCAGUCCUGCUUCUUCAUUCCUCAAGGGCACUAUUCCCAGGAGUGUGCCUCAGUAUAAUGCCUGCUCACAGAUCCCCAUACCAGGGAACCUGAUCAAUGACUCUAAAUACCCAGAAAAGAAAAAACAAAAUGAAUAAAAUUUCCACAAUCCAAAUACUAAGCACAAUACUUCCUCCCUAAACCUCUAAAGCUCAUGAUAAUUUCUGAUUGAGACAUUAGAUUAGUUAAGUAUAUAGAAGAUUGGACUAGCAUUACACUUGUCUACAAUUGAAAGUUAUAACAUAGUGAAAUUAAGUGUAUAGAGAUACAUGCCUACUAAAAGCUAAGGAUGGUGAAAUAAAAUCUACUGUGAGAAAAGAGACCAAAGAAGCAUCUGAUCAGUAAAAUAUUAUUUAUUUUUUUCAAAAAUAUUUUCAUGAAAAUUCACAUUGUAUACUCCUCAUAUUGUCUUCCUGCUGGAAAUGCUAGAUAAACUUUGUAGAUGGAUUUUUUUUAAACCUAUACUGACAUUUAACAGGGAGUUAUGCAUUCAUGUCUUGUAAUAAUCAAUCUAUUUUAUUCUUCUAUCUCAUAUUUAAUUUCUAUUUUUUCCUUCCUUCCUUCCUACCUUACCUUUCUUUCUUUCUUUCUUUCUUUCUUUCUUUCUUUCUUUCUUUCUUUCUUUCCUUUCCUUUCCUUUCCUUUCCUUUCCUUUCUUUUCUUUUCUUUCUUUCUUCUUGACCGAGUUAAUUUUCUCUUUGUUCUUUUACUCUCUCUGAUAAUCUGAAAAGUUUUUUUUUUUUGUUUGUUUGUUUGCCCUCCCUCUGUAACUGUUGAAGUUAUGGAUAUCUUACUCCUCUUGUCAGUGGCAUUAUUAUGAUUUCCUCCUACCGUGAUGUCUGGUUUCCCUACUCCCUGCAUUUCUUACAACUCUCACAGCUCUUAAUUCUGAUAAUAUGGUUAAAUGAAGUGGAGCUCUCAAGACCUAAAGAAGUGAAACAAGAGGUCAUGAUAAUGAUGUAAGUGAGAAUUUGUAAUAUUACAAGGAGUAUGCAUUAUUAUUGGUGCAGAAAUAGCGAUAUGUUGGAGUUAAGUUUUUUUUUGGGGGGGUUAAGUUUUAUAGUCUACAUUUUUUUUUCAUCAUAGCUCAGUAAAACUAGAGCCUGGCAUAAAAAAAAAAUUGAGAAGGUAUUUUUAAAAUUAAGAAGCACUUUCUAAAAUGAUUCUCUGAUCAAAGAGGAAAACUAAGAUACAAACAACCUAGACUAAAAUGUUAUAUACUUUUAUAAUAUCAUGUUAUAUAAGAAAUUAUCUUAUAUAAGCAAUCCCAAGAUAUAGGCUCUCUAUUCACCUCACAGAUUGUUUCUUUUGCUGAGAAGAAGUUUUUUAGUUUGAGUCCAUCCCAUUUAUUGAUUCUUGAUUUAAAUUCUUGUGCUAUAGGAGUCUUAUUAAGGAAGUUGGAGCCUAAUCCCACAUGAUGGAGAUUAGGGCCUACUUUUUCUUCUAUUAGACGCAUAGUCUCUGGUUUAAUUCGUAGGUCCUUUGAGUUGAGUUUUGUGCAUGGUGAGAGAUAGUGGCUUAAUUUCAUUUUAUUGCAUAGGGAUUUCCAGUUUUCCCAGCACCAUUUGUUGAAGAGGCUAUCUUUUCUCCAGUGCAUGUUUUUGGUGCCUUUGUCCAAUAUAAGAUAAUCGUAAUUUUGUGGGUUAGUCUCUGUGUCCUCUAUUCUGUACCACUAAUCUACCAGUCUGUUUUGGUGCCAAUACCAUGCUGUUUUUGUUACUAUUGCUCUGUAGUACAGUUUAAGGUCUGGUAUUGUGAUGUCACCUGCUUCACUCUUCCUGUUAAGGAUUACUUUAGCUAUUCUGGGUCUCUUAUUUUUCCAGAUGAAUUUCAUUGGGCUUUCAGAAUUGCAUUAAAUCUGUAUAGUGCUUUUGGUAGUAUGGUCAUUUUGAUAAUAUUAAUUCUGCCUAUCCAAGAGCAAGGUAGAUCUUUCCAUCUUCUAAGGUCUUCUUUGAUUUUUUUAAGGGUUCUGUAGUUUUCAUUGUAUAGAUCUUUCACCUCUUUCGUUAAGUUGAUUCCCAGGUAUUUUAUUUUAUUUUUUUGAGGCUAUUGUAAAUGGGGUAGUUUUCCUCAUUUCCUUCUCAGAGGAUUUGUCACUGAUAUACAGAAAUGCCUUUGAUUUAUGGGUGUUGAUUUUGUAACCUGAUACUUUGCUGAAUUCAUUUACUAAUUCUAGAAGUUUCCUGGUGGAGCUUUUUGGGUCUUCUAGGUAUAGAAUCAUAUCGUCAGUAAAUAGUGCUAAUUUAAGUUCUUCUUUUCCUAUACAUAUCACUUUAAUUUCUUUUGUUUGUCUAAUUUCUCUGGCCAGUGUUUCAAGAACAAUUUGUGAGGUGAAUAGAGAGCCUACAUCUUGGGAGCAAAUUUUUACCCCUUACACAUCAGAUAGAGCUCUAAUCUUUAGGGUAUAUAAAGAACUCAAAAAGCUAAACACCCCCCCCCCAAAAACAAACAAACAAACAAACAAACAAACAAACAAACAAAUAACCCAAUCAAUAAAUGGGCCAAUGACAUGAACAAACACUUCUCAGAAGAGGAUAUUCAAUCAAUCAACAAAUAUAUGAAAAAAAUGUUCCCAUCUCUAACAAUUAGAGAAAUGCAAAUCAAAACUACUCUAAGAUACCAUCUCACUCCAGUCAGAGUGGCAGCUAUUAUGAAGACAAACAACAAUAAGUGUUGGCAAGGAUGGGGGAAAAAGCCACAAUCAUACAUUGCUGGUGGGACUGCAAAUUGGUGCAGCCAAUAUGAAAAGCAGUAUGGAGAUUCCUUGGAAAACUUGGAAUGGAACCACCAUUUGACCCAGCUAUCCCUCUCCUCAGACUAUACCCAAAGGACUUAAAAACAGCAUACUACAGGGAAACAGCCACAUCAAUGUUUAUAGCAGCACAAUUCACAAUAGCUAAACUGUGGAACCAACCUAAAUGCCCUUAAGUAGAUGAAUGACUUAAAAAAUGUGGCAUAUAUACACAAUGGAAUUUUACUCAACAAUAAAAGAGAAUGAAAUUAUGGCAUUUGCAGGUAAAUGGAUGCAGUUGGAGAAGAUGAUGCUGAGUGGAGUUAGCCAAUCCCAAAAAAACAAAUGGUGAAUGUUUUCUCUGAUAUAAGGAGGCUGACUCAUAGUGGGGUAGGGAGAGGGAGCAUGAGAGGAAUAAACGAACUGUAGAUAGGGCAGAGGGGUGGGAGGGUAAGGUAAGGGUGCAGGGGGUUAGCAAUGAUGGUGGAAUGUGAUGGACAUCAUUAUCCAAAGUACAUGUGUGAAGACAUGAAUUGGUGUGAACGUUCUUUAUAUAGAGAGAUAUGGAAAAUUGUGUUCUAUACGUGUAAUAAGAAUUGUGAUAUAUUCUACUGUCAUGUAUUUAAAAAAUAAAAGCAAUUAAAACAACAACAACAAAAUAAAUUAUAUUAUAUAAGCAAUCCAAGCAGACUUCUUACACAGAAAAGUUACAACCUUAAGUUAUCUUAUAGUUAAAAAAAUAAGAUUUGAAAAUAAGUUUUAAAAUUCUCAAACUCAAAAGUAGCAAAAUAAAAUAGGAAUACAGAAGAAGAAAAUUAAUAAAGAUAAAAGCUAAAACUAGAAAACAAACAUAAAAAGAAGUCAAUGAAAUCAAAUUUAGUUUCUUUGAAAAUUUUGAUGAGCUAAAUACACCCUGUCAAGCCUGAAUAGGGACAGAGAUGGUAAAAUAAAUACAGCAUUAUAAAAUAAACAUAACCACAGAUAUAGAGAAAAUAGGAAAGCUUGCCAGUGGAUAUGACAGGCAAUGGUAUAUAAUUAAGCAUGAAAUCGUAGAUAAUGGGUGAUUUCCUACUACAAAUACAAAUUCUUAAAAUUAACUCAAGAAAAAAGAGAUGGGAAACAUGAAUAGAUCAAGUGCUGUAGAGGAGAUGGGAAGCAAAAGAAUUCUCAUUGAAAAAAGCACCAGGCCAAGGUAGUUUUAUAGAUGAUAUAGUAUAUAAAAAAUUAACUCUAGCAUUACAUAAAUUUUACUUGAACACAAAAAAGGAAGAUAUUAAAGUUGUUUGGUGAAUAUAGUUCCUAAGUACAGUACAGAAUUUGAAUAUCAGUUCCAAUAACUAAAGACAAAAUGCAAUUAUGCAGUGCUCAACAACACAGUUGUCAGUGAUGGGCCACCUGUACAAUGGGGUUCCAAUGAGAGGACAAUGGUGCUGAUGAUUCGUAUGGUUUGGUGAUACAGCUGUCCUUACUCUGUAGGGCAAUGCACUACUGACAUGUUUGUGGUCAUGCUGAUGUAAAUAGAAUUUUGCUACUAAUUGUUUAAAAGUGUAGGACAUACGAUUAUGCACAGGACAUAAUGCUUGAUAUUGAAACUAAAUGACUAUGUUAUUGGUUCAUGUUUUUACUAGACUAUACUUUUUGUCAUUAUUUUACAGUGUACUACUGCUGUUUAUAAAAAUGUACUGCAUCUCUUGAUUGCAUCAAAGGCCAUUUCACCUGAUUGACCUAUACCAUCUAGAUCUGUGUACCAUCUACACUCUGUGAUGUUCACAGGACAGAAUCACCUAACAAGGCCUUUCUUAGAACAUACCCUGUCCUUAAGCUGUGAAACACUGUCUUCAUGAAUUAAACUCAUCAGUGUAUCAAAAGCAUAGAGCAUAACUAGUAGAAAAGGUUUGUUACCAGAAAACAAGAAUGUAUCUCAAUCAUUAGAAACUCAUACAAAUUAAUUAAUAUGUAUAACUAAUUGGGAAGGCUUUCAGUUGGUUAGAAUGGCAUGAUGGUGGUCAACUGAUUCUUCGACUCUGUUUUCCAGUAGGUAGAAAAUUGCAGGCAAAGCAAAGGUAGAGGGUGGACAUUGGGGGCAAAAGAGAUAGAGUCCUUUAGCCUUAGGAAAAUGCAUCGGCUAUUUGUUCUUUUUUAUUUAAUUUGUAGGAUGCCUGUUGAAGAGAUACAGUUAAAUAAAUGUGACAAAUAUUUAAAGAGUAAUAAAUAGAGAAUCUGCGAUGAGUACCUACUACGCUCUACACUCUUGGCUAGGUGCCAUUUAAUGGUUUAAUCAGAUCUGGGUUAAUAUGUGGAGCACUCACGUGCAUGCUCAUAUCAAUAGAAUCCCUUCUAGCAGCAUUCAUUGAUUAAGGCACAAAACCCAACACAUCAUUUUAAAGGAACUUAUGUAGGCAUGGGCAUCAAACAUGAUUAUUGAAAUUGAUUGCAAAUGAGCACUUCAAAUACUGACAGAUUUCAUUCAUGAGACAAGAGAUAAGGCAAUUUGAACUGAUGCGUGAGUUCAGUGAUCUUGACAUUGCUUUAUAAGCACACUAGAAUGCUUUUGUGGGUUGUAACCUAAGAGGUACAAAUACCUACACUGAAAAGACAUCCACUCUUACCUGAAUUUCUGAGGCUGCCUGAAGAGGGUACGACUUUGCUGGUUAUGCCAUCUCUGAGCAAAGACUCUUAUAAGCUCUCAGUAUCAGAGCAGAUACUUCCUUUCCUAGCCAGCAUAGCUCAAUCUGGAGUUCUUUGGGAUCUUGGGGAGGGAAGCAAGCUGUUUCCAAGAGGCAGGAGGAGACCUUUGGACAUCUUUGUGUCACAAAGCAUCCUCCAUCUUCCUCCAGGGACACUCUCUGGUUUAUUUGCCUUUGGCAUAGCAUGAGAGUUGCUUUCAGGUUUUCUUCCUUCUGUUUGCCUGGAGAAAGGAGAUUCUCUGGUACAGUUAUGGGGUCUUGAAAACGUGAUGCCUUCCUAUGGGGAGGGAUGCAAUCUUUCUUGCACUGCAGAAAAGGAGCAGAGCAGAGCUCUGGCUAAAAGAUGUUGCCAAGGAAAUUUAAACAAAGCAAACUCUGGACACCUCAGAUGCAAGACUUUGUUACUUAACAAGUUGGAGUAAUGGCUAUAAGGUCAGUGACUGUAAGUCUAUCCUAUAAACAAGGAUUAUAAGAUUUAAACAGGGGCUUUACCUCACAACAGUGAUGUCAGCAGCCAAUGGCAACAGCUACCCUGCCUUUCUGUUUCAUCCUUAAAGUGACAGUAUCCAACUUUCCACUCUGCAUCUAUCAUAAAGACACAUUGAUUUCCUUUGUGGAGAAACACAUAUUUCUUUUCUCCUGCUAAAAAGAUAAAUCUGACAGAUUUUAAUCAAAUGUAGUUGUUCACAACUACAGAAAUGCACAGAGUGCUGCAUAUAAAAACAAAAAUACAAUGGCUUCUAAAGAAGAAGGAGUUUUUGUGGCCAGGUUUAUUUGUAGACAACAUGUGUAUCUGCAUGUGUGCAUCCCCAGGAGCAUAUCCAGAAGCACACUCAGGCACACACACACUCAGGGUGCACUGAGGCCUGAGAUUCCAUUAUUGUAAUGUUCUCCAUGAUACUGUACUUGCAUCCAGUGACAUCAGCAAAUGUUGGCUUAAUUAAUAUUUCUGCCAAAACUGGAUGUUCUGGAUUCUUUGUUGAACCUGAGAUUCUGAUUCUUUUUUUUUUUUUUAGUAUUUUAGUUUUCGGUGGACACAACAUCUUUAUUUUUAUUUUUAUGUGGUGCUGAGGAUCGAACCCAGCACCCUGUGCAUGCCAGGCGAGCACGCUACCGCUUGAGCCACAUCCCUAGCCCGAACCUGAGAUUCUGUAAUAUUGGGGCUUGGUCUUUAAAAUGAAGUCUUUCCCAAGAUGAAACUUGGCUUUCAGAGAAAGCAUCAUGUGAGAUAGAACAUUGAACAUGAAGAAUCAUCAUGUCCCUUAUCCAACACGCUCUCAUAACUAUGAUUUUGUUUCGUACUUGGCUAUGAUUUGGUCAAGUGUGUUAGAAAGCACUUGCAUUAUUUCAUGGAGUGAUUCUGAGUAGCUCUUGUUAUUCUUUUCAACAUGUCUAAGGAGAGCCAAGAUGUUUUUCUUCUGAAUUUAGAUAGACAUUUAAACUGAUUUUUCUUAAGAUGAUAUUAAAAGUCUGUGGCAGAGAGACUUAAAAUCAACAAGGCUUGAUGCUUUUUUACAUCUCAUUCAUUGAUGAGUUUGGUUCUUCUCAUUAUAGGUUGUGCAUGAGCUGAUUUUUGAUGGGAAUUUGUGAAAUAUUCAAGUCCUUUGCAUGUUUUGUCUCCUCUUCUAGGUGUAGGUAUGACUGACUGCAUUUUUAUUAGAGUGGAGGAUCAGAUGCCUCUGGUUCACAGCUUGUGUAAAAUUUCCUGCCCAGAUACCUCCAAAAAAGCCCACCUUAUUUCAGCUAAUUUUUUGAGGUAAAAAAAUAAUUCUCAUCAUGAGGGAAGAACAGCUAUAUUUUUUAAUUGACCAAUCCUUCCUUAAGUGGCUCAUCUUUUCAAAAUGUUUUUUUUUUCAUUUUAUCCUCAUAAAUUUGAAUAUAAUAUUAAGUUAUAUGAUUCAAGAAGAAGUGCAUGCUAGAAAGAAAAGUAUUGUGAGGAAAGUUAUCUUAAUACAUGUGUAUAGACUUAAUGUAUAUAUGCAUAUCUACCAGUUCAUUUCAAUGGGUAACAGAGAACUCUUUUUUUUUUUAAAUGUGAGUCUAAAAGUACAAAGAUCUUUUGUAUGAUAACAUGCCCUCUGUGCAAAUUGUGCAGUGCAUUAUUGAGUUAAUUUUGAUAUUUACUUGGUUUUUGAGAAUGAGCUCACAACUGUAAUAUUUGUCCUUAAUCUUGGAGAUAUUUAUUCUGAGAAGCACAGGGUAGGAUAUGGGAAAGAACUUAGUGUGACCAAAUCAGAAGUUACCGCACCAGAACAGCAUUAGAAGAGGUUGGUGUAUUAAUUUUAAGAGGAAUAAAUUAACUUCUUAGAGUAAAAAGUAAGAAAAGGAAGCCAAUACGAGUGGGUGAGUUCAUUCACUUGAAUAUUAUGGUGUCUUCAUUUAGCCCCAACCAUGAAAUUAGUGGUUAAAAAUUAUCUCAGGUUGGGGCUAUGGCUCAGUGUUAGUGCAUUUGCCUGGAAUGUGUGAGGCACUGGGUUCGAUUCUCAGCACCACAUAUAAUUAAAUAAAAUAAAAGUCUAUUAACAGCUAAAUAAUACUUUAAAAAAAUUGUUUCAGUUUUCAUCUUGUUCUGGUGUUAUUUGACAAUUUAACCCAAAAUGCAAGACCUUGCUGACUCAGGAAAUAUAUGAUGCUUUCCUAAAAGAAUAUUUGUGAUGCUCCAAACUAUAGCUGCUAGAAGACAUGAAGGCAAGCACAAAAUAUUAUCUGGAUCAUGAUUUAUACAUGCGGAACAGACAAUAAACUCACCAUACUCCUUUGCCCCCAAAGAAAGUGCUCCCAGCUAGCUAUAACUUUAGAAAGUAUUUUGAAGCAAUAGUUCUCAAAGUUACAGAGUUUUUUUCUUAUUUACAAAAGAAGCAAUUCAUUUUGUAGGACAUUUCAAACUGGCAAAUGUCCAACAACAAUUUUGACCAAAGCUGGGUGUAAAAGGUAUUGCAAAACAUAAAGCGAGAGAAUAUUUAGGAAAGAUGGGAACAAAAAGGAAAAUUAUUCAUCCUUCCAUAUGGCUUUUUAAAGCUAUUUACAAUUAUGCACCGUUUAUAGUAGUUUCUAUAAAAUUUUCUCCAUUGAGAAGGCAGAAGACUGAAUAAGUUUGUGAGUGCAUCACAAAAGAAAGAGAAGGGAUUCAGAACGACAAUGGAAUUUAGUUGAUUGUUUGAGAAUUCGCAGUGUGAUAAUGACACUGUUAACCAGGAGAAUGGAGAAUGUGAUCUCAUUUACUUUUCCAGAAAGGGAUUUUUAAGAACUUAACUGAAAAUUAAAGUUGCUAGUGACAGUGUGAAAAGUAAACAAUAACAAUCCUACCACAAUUAUGCAUCUGAUUGAAAUAGGUACAAUGUAUCAGAAGUCUAAAAACCAGAGUUUCCUUCACUCUUUCCUGCAUGGAAAUGUGUGGGAUAGAAAGGAGGAAGUAUGGGAUUUUGCAAGAUGUAUUUCCAUAGCUUUAUGUAAGGCACAAUUUAGAACAUGCAUCAUGCCACCAAUUCUUAUCCUGGACAUCUUAUGACUAAACUCUAAAAAGAUUGCUAGCUUUGAUUAGAACAGGGUAAUUCAUU
rnacentral:lncRNA from 1 species